UAAGUGUUGAACGUUGCUACAUACUUUGAAGAAUCUGUUGAGAUGAUCAUGUGAUUUAUCUCAUUUGUUCUAUAAUAUAGUGGAUUAUAUCGGUUUAUUUUGAAAUGUUGAAUCAGGCUUGCAUUCUUGGGAUAAUUUCUGUUUGAUUAGCUUUGAUUUGCUAGAAUUUUGUUAAGGAUUUUUGCGUCUGUGUUUGUGAGGGAUUUUUUCGUAAUGUCUCUGUGAGGUCAUGUUGGCCUCCAAAAACAGAAAAGGUUUUUGAGAAAGUUUGCCUGAGGUUUAUAGUUGGAUAGUUGGUAGAAAAGUCAUCAAGGCCUGGAACUUUGUAGGAAGGUUUUCUAUUACAGAUUCAAUUGUGCUAAUACAUUUAGAACUAACCAGAUUCUGGUUCAUCCUGUGUUAAUUUGGGUAAAUUGUAUUUUUCAAGGUAUUUUUCUGUUUCAUCUAACUUAUUGGCAUAAAGUUGUCCGUAAUUUUCUGUAUCCUCUUUUUUGUGCCUAUAGGGUCUAUAUUAAUGAUCUGUCUUUGUUUCCUUCCUCAUGUCACUCAUUUCUAUUCUUUUUUUUCUUUGGUCAGCUGUUGAUCAAUUUUGCUAUUGUUUUCAAAGAGCCAGCUUUUGGCUUUGUUAAAUUUCUCUAUCAUUUAUCUAUUUUUUAUUUUGAUUUUUUGCUCUUUAUUAUUUCCUGCUUUCCAUUUCCUCUGGGUCUGCCCUGCUGCUUCUAAAGCAAUAGAACUUGAAUCUUAGAUCUUGGUUAAUAUAUUUUAUUAUUCAACUCAGAGUAGUUUUUCUUGGGGCACCUGGGGGGCUCAGUUGAUUGUCUGCCUUCAGCUUGGGUCAUGAUCCUGGGGUCAUGAUCCAGGCCCACAUCAGGCUCCCUGCUCAGCAAGGAGUCUGCUUCCCCCUCUGCCUCUGCCCCUCCCCCCGGCCCUGCUUGUACACUCCUGUGUGCUCUCUCAAAUAAAUAAAAUCUAAUAAAAUCCCAAAAAACAAAUUUUAUUUUAAAAAAAUACUUGAGGUUUUCUUAGGUAUCUUAUUUUUGGGUUCCUGACAAUUUUUGCCAAGGUCAGGGAACACACUGUGUAUGGUUUCAACCCAUAUAAAUAUAUUAAAACUUGUUUUAGAGUCUUAACAUUUGGCAUGUUUGGGUGAUUUAAAAAAAAAAACUGUUUACAUGUUAGGUGUCUCUAAGUAUCAAUUAGGUUAUGGUGGUUGAUAGUGUUUUUCAGAUCAUCUAUUUUUCUUGUUUUGUUGUGGUUUGUCCAAUUCUGAGAGAGGGGUGUGAAGAUUUCUAUAGCUGUGGGUUUCCUUUUAAUUUUGUCAGUACUUGUAUUAAAGUCUUCUGAGACUCUUUUUUUUUUAAUAUUUUAUUUAUUUAUUCAUGAGAGAGACAGAGAGAGGCAGAGACACAGGCAGAGGGAGAAGCAGGCUCCAUGCAGGGAGCCUGACAUGGGAUUCGAUCCUGGGUCUCCAGGAUCAGGCCCUGGGCUGAAGGCGGUGCUAAACCGCUGAGCCACCCAGGCUGCCCCAUCUGAGACUCUUUUUAAAGUGUGUAGUUGGGUCUUGGGUUUUUAUCCAUUCUGACAACCUCUUUAUUUCACUUUUUAGUAUAGAGACGUCAUUUCCCUCUUUUCUUUUGGCUUUUCACCUCUACUUCUUUGCGUUUUUUUUAUUUAGAGGUUGCUCUAGGGAGGACAGUAAGCACACUCAGUUGUUUACAGUGUGUAGCAGUAGUCCAGCACCCCACAGGCACGUCGCAGACUCUGCCUCUGCUCCCCAUAUGGGACCACCCCCCACACCCCUUUGUGUUCUGGUUGGAUGUGUUGCGCCUGUGAACCUCACGGCCCCCAGUAGCAGGGCUGUGAUAGCUCGCUUAAAGCAGUCCUGUGGAAUAAAGUCCACCAGCUUUGCACUUGGAAUCUUUAUCUAUAGUUUUUGAUGUUUUCUUUGCAUUUUUCUUGUAGAUUAGCCUACCAUGGCAGACCAGAGACAGCGCUCACUCUCUACCUCUGGGGAAUCACUAUACCAUGUUCUGGGGCUGGACAAGAAUGCAACCUCAGAUGACAUUAAAAAGUCCUAUCGGAAACUUGCCUUGAAAUAUCACCCCGACAAGAACCCCGAUAACCCAGAGGCCGCAGACAAGUUUAAGGAGAUCAACAAUGCCCACGCCAUCCUGACGGACGCCACAAAGAGGAACAUCUACGACAAGUACGGCUCGCUGGGGCUCUACGUGGCCGAGCAGUUCGGGGAGGAGAACGUGAACACCUACUUCGUGCUCUCCAGCUGGUGGGCCAAGGUCCUGUUCGGGGUGUGCGGGGUGCUCACCUGCUGCUACUUCUGCUGCUGCCUGUGCUGCUGCUUCAACUGCUGCUGCGGGCGGUGCAAGCCCCGGGCGCCCGCGGGGGAGGACGCCGACUUCUACGUGUCCCCCGAGGACCUGGAGGCGCAGCUGCAGUCGGACGAGCGGGGAGGGCACUGACACUGUGCGGGAGUGUUUGUGGUGGCGGCUGGGACUGUUGAGGUGUGAACGUGGACACUUGAGAGGCCACAGACACGCCGAUUGUCAUACAGCCAGCGUCUGCCACAGAGACCACCCAGCUCACGGCCGACUCCCACCCCAGCUACCACACCGACGGGUUCAAUUAAGUUCAGGAGCAGCUGAGAUAGAGGAUAGCGCAGCACCCGGCCACUUCACCCUUAGAAUCAUGAACUGUAGUCACAGAGAUGGGGGGAGCCGCCCUGGCCACGGAGGAGGGGCAGCCGCCGCCCGCCGGGCCCUUCCCACCUCUGUGCCCGCCCACCCGUCGCCCCCAACACGUGAAGUGCGUCGCAUGCGGUAUUUAAAGCAGUUUAGCUACAGUCUUCUUCUUCUUCUGUUUUCUCCUUUUUUAAUAGCAUGUACGGGGUUA